ACAGGUGAAGAAGAAAGGUCAGCGUUGAAGAUAAAGGGUGGGAGUAAUUUGGGAAUUUCAUUAAAAAGUCAACAAAAAAUUAGGGUUUUGGUACUUUUGUCACACGAAACUCAUCUUUCAUGGG